rnacentral:snoRNA from 1 species
UGCAAUUAAUGACGAUUUUUUUCCAUAAUUGGUGAUUAAACAGUGAUUAAUACAAAAAUACCACCAUCUUUCGGCUGAGAUUUGCA